rfam:Spermophilus tridecemlineatus cont1.352633, whole genome shotgun sequence.
CUGAGGUAUCUAACUUGGGCCCAUGGGAAGCGUCAGAAGCUCUCUCACGUGGAAGACAAGGCCAUACCGAUGUAAUAUUUAAACAGCAGUGUUCCCC